rnacentral:piRNA from 1 species
UAGGAUUAAUGGUGUACAUCACGACUAC